rnacentral:tRNA from 1 species
GCCGGAGUAGCUCAGUUGGUAGAGCAACGCAUUCGUAAUGCGUGGGUCGGGGGUUCGAUUCCCUUCUCCGGCA